UUGUCUGAGGAGCAAGAUAAAAGGGUCUAUGUUAUUGUGUGUAGUUGGUGUCAUUGUAAGGUUUAAGCUGGUGAGUUUACAAAUGUUUGGAUAAGGUUUGGACGAGGAACCACCUUAGCCUUGAAGGUCAAUACGGGGACAUGUAUCUUUGCCAAGACGUCAACAAAUCCAUUAAGCCCACUUCCAUCUCAGCAACAAUGAAAGAAACUUGCGUUGCUGAGCUCUGCUGGCUGGGUGGCGUCACCGCACAUUGACCCAGCUACCCAAUGACUUCCCUGAAUUUUCAUUAUGUGAAAAC